UCCCUGUCGACGAACUCGGUGUGUUCGG
rnacentral:piRNA from 1 species